AACGAACGCUGGCGGCAGGCUUAACACAUGCAAGUCGAACGCAUCGCAAGAUGAGUGGCAGACGGGUGAGUAACGCGUGGGAACAUACCCUUUUCUACGGAAUAGCUCUGGGAAACUGGAAUUAAUACCGUAUACGCCCUACGGGGGAAAGAUUUAUCGGGGAAGGAUUGGCCCGCGUUGGAUUAGCUAGUCGGUGGGGUAAAGGCCUACCAAGGCGACGAUCCAUAGCUGGUCUGAGGGGAUGAUCAGCCACAUUGGGACUGAGACACGGCCCAAACUCCUACGGGAGGCAGCAGUGGGGAAUAUUGGAGAAUGGGCGGAAGCCUGAUCCAGCCAUGCCGCGUGAGUGAUGAAGGCCUUAGGGUUGUAAAGCUCUUUCACCGAUGAAGAUAAUGACGGUAGUCGGAGAAGAAGCCCCGGCUAACUUCGUGCCAGCCGCCGCAGUAA
rnacentral:rRNA from 1 species